AGUACUACUUCGGCGGUGCGACCUGAAAGUCGCAUGGGUUUCUGUUUCGCGGCCGCGUCCGACGAAACCGAUUGUUCCACCAACCGUUCCCUACCCGGACAGGCGAAGCCGGCAACAGCUUGGUCUGAAGCUCUAGGGACAAUGUAGCCACCGACGUCGUCGGUAGGUCGAGCCGUGAGGCAAGGCCGAAUCUGCCAGCAUCAAGGCGGAGAGGCGCUAGGGAUGAAUGGGUACGACCAACACACGUGAACCUCCUAUAAACGUCGUCAUGACAGCCAAGCCAAAGAUGCUGACAGGCUUGAACCAAAAGGUAUGCGGUCAGGCAGGGGCUCUUACCGAUAGCCCCUCGUGGACGAAGUGCCGCCGGCGAAAUCGAGGGGUCCGACCCAUUCGGAAAUCCAUGCGGAACAGGGUAAGCCCGUAGCAUCGCCGGACACGGCAGGCGGACCGCGAGGAACGCUGAGGGUGCUGCGGGUAAAGGAAUGUGGAGAAAGCGAAGGCCGCCCUGUAACGGGGUGGAUACGGGCUAAGACAUGGCCUGGCGCGAAAGCGAGCAGACUUCCACAAGGUCUUCCAUGGCGAAAUAACCUUGCCAAUCGUUGGACGGAGGAAAGCAGAUGACAGAACCAGCUCGCCAUGCGCAAGCAGCGACGCCACGUUCUGGUGCACCUUCGCAUGCCAAAUCGAACUGGCCCCAAUCCUGGUGCCGGAUCGAAUCGGACGUGAAACGACUCCAGGUGCGUAUUGCCAAGGCAACACGAGAAGGCAGGUGGGGCAAGGUGCAAGCCUUGCAGAGGCUGCUGACUCGCUCGUACAGCGGCAAGAUGCUCGCCGUGAAACGAGUGACGGAAAAUCGAGGGAAGAAAACACCGGGAAUCGACGGCAAGAUCUGGUCGACUCCGGUCGCCAAAUCGAAGGGAGCAUCGGCGCUGAAGCAGCGUGGUUAUCGACCACAGCCGCUGAGGCGCCUCUACAUACCCAAGAGCGACGGCAAGGAACGCCCACUGGGGAUUCCAACGAUGCGGGACAGGGCCAUGCAAGCGCUGUGGAAACUGGCGCUCGAGCCGGUGGCAGAGACGCGUGCCGAUCCCAACUCGUAUGGUUUCCGGCCAGAACGUUCAACGGCCGAUGCCAUCGCACACGGCUUCACCGUGCUGGCAAAGCGUAGCUCGGCAGAGUGGAUACUUGAAGGAGACAUCCGUGGCUGCUUUGACAAUAUCAGUCAUGAUUGGCUGCUCACCAAUGUCCCCAUGGACAAGACCAUUCUGCGUAAAUGGCUGCAGGCAGGGUAUGUCGAGCAGGGAACCUUGUUCGCAACGGAGGCGGGAACCCCGCAAGGGGGAAUCAUCUCCCCGAUACUCGCGAACUGGACCCUGGAUGGACUGGAGCAGGCCGCUCUCACCAGCGUGGCUUCGACAGAACGCCGGCGAAGGCCCUUCAAGGUCCAUGCCGUAAGGUAUGCCGAUGACUUCAUCGUCACGGGGGCUUCGAAAUCUCUCCUGGAACAUCAGGUACGACCGGCGAUCGAGGCGUUCCUGAAAGAGCGGGGCCUGGAGCUCUCGGCAAAGAAGACUCACAUAACGCAUAUCUCCGAAGGCUUCGACUUUCUUGGCCAGAACGUACGCAAGUACGCCGGCAAGCUGCUGAUCACUCCAGCUCGCAAGAGUGUGAAAGUGCUCCUGGAGAAAGUCCGGGAAGUCGUAAACGGGAACAAGGCAGCCACACAGGCGAACCUGAUCCUGAUCCUGACCCUGACCCUGAACCCGAUCAUCCGGGGGUGGGCCAUGUAUCAUCGCCAUGUCGUUGCUGCCGCCCGCUUCGCAUGGAUCGACCACCAGAUUUGGCGAAUCCUAUGGCGCUGGGCUGUGCGCCGGCAUGCCAUGAAAAGUGCUCACUGGGUAAAGCAACGAUACUUCCGCGUGGUGGGGCGACGACACUGGGUGUUUGCUUGCAAGGAAAGAAAGCAUGGCAUGAGCCAGCCCGUCUGGCUGUUCGCUGCAGCCAGUGUUCCGAUCAUACGGCACGUCAGGAUAUGCAGCGCGGCGAACCCGUUCGACCCUGCAUGGACGCUUUACCUGGAGCGCAGGAGAGCACAGCGUCAGGUAGCCCGGUCACCCGGCUGCUGGAAGGCUUGAGCCGUAUGAGGGGUGACUCUCAUGUACGGUUCUCAGGGGAGGCAGGAGUGGUAACACUCCUGCCUUACCCGAC
rnacentral:autocatalytically_spliced_intron from 1 species